rnacentral:rRNA from 1 species
CUUAACACAUGCAAGUCGAACGGACCUGCUACACCAACUAGCAAUAGGCGGAGUGGUAGGUUAGUGGCGGACGGGUGAGUAACACGUGGGUGACCUGCCCUGAAGUGGGGAAUAACUGCUCGAAAGAGUGGCUAAUACCGCAUGCGAUCUACCAUUCGUUUGGUAGAUCAAAGGCCCGCAGGGGUCGCUUCUGGAUGGGCUCGCGUCCGAUUAGGUAGUUGGUGUGGUAAUGGCGCACCAAGCCGAUGAUCGGUAGGGGGCGUGAGAGCGUGACCCCCCACACUGGCACUGAAACACGGGCCAGACUCCUACGGGAGGCAGCAGUGAGGAAUAUUGCACAAUGGGCGAAAGCCUGAUGCAGCAACGCCGCGUGGGUGAUGAAGGCCUUCGGGUCGUAAAACCCUUUUCUGGGGGAAGAGGANGGACGG